UGGUGGUAGAAUGAUUUUAAUUUAUAAUUUUUCCGUCUUACGUAGCUCUUUGUUGCGUCAUCUAAAGCAAAUCGUCGCCUUUGCACACUCUUGAUAGGGAUGUCUUAACCUUGGAGAGCAAUUAAAGAAUAAUCUAAAGCAAUCCAACCAAAGACGGUCUUGAAAAGAUCCUUCUUAGUGCGGCUUUUGACGCGAUGUGC
rnacentral:lncRNA from 1 species